ensembl:processed_transcript
AUUCAAAGCAGCAGGGCUGCAAGGCCGCUGCAGUGACGCGCCCACCCGGCCCUGUGCUGCGCCUGCCAGCCUGGGGUCCGCAGUUAUCGCUCCACAACUCCUCCAGGACCAUGGCAAGGCUGGUGACGCGUAACCGCCCCGGGUUCCUGGCUCGCCUCAUCGGUGGCAUCUGGUGCCUCCUCUGUGUCGCAGGACAGGUAUGUGGAGACCAAAGCCAAGGGGCUGUUUUCCUGAGGGAAUUUACACUGAUUCGAAGAGAGAGCCUUCAUGAAGAGUUCCUGUCUGACUUCUUGAAUAGUCACAAAACUGAAGACCCGGAGGAAGAGAAGAAAAAAAACUGCUGCUUCUUCCACUCUGCCAUCUACCCUGGGAACCCCACCUAUGUUGCUAAAAUCUAAAAACAUGAGGUUUAAACAUACACCAAAAGUGUAUAAAAUAUACAACAAAGUCACUUAUACAUUCAGUAGAGUCACAUGUGAGGGAACAAAAUAACACCUCUGCCUUAAGAAAAAUUUGGGGCAUUGCAGGAUGGCAAUAUCUGACACACCUCUUGUUGACAUUGUCCCACAACUUUAUACACAGUGUCUUUAAUCGACUGUGGCAUUCUUAUUAAGAGUCCAGGAAUCCUUCACACCCUUCACCAUCAACCCUAGGCAGCAGCCUUGAGGAGGGCUUGGGUGUCAGGGUCAUUACUCUAUAACAGUAUUUAGAAACUCUUGAGUGUUUGACUGUCUGCCUUGGUCCUGGUACUUUCUCCUUGGCAAAUGGAGACAGAAACUGUGCAGGUGACCCUCCUUAGCAAGUGGAAGAGCAUAGUACCUUCGAUUGCUGCACCGUGACUGAUGAUUCUGAGUUGAUGGGAGGGGAAAGAAGAUGAAUAGAUGAAAAGCGUAACGAAAGACAGCAUUUAGUAGACUUAAGAGCAACUGCUAAUGUUAUAGAGAUGGUGUGAUCAACACGGCCCCAUGAGAUAGUGACUUCACUGCUGCCACACUACCAGGUACCUAUAAAGAAGAGGGUUGUGGUGUGUAGAGCUUCUUCUGAAUUUAUGAUUUAUUCCAUUUUAAGUACCCAGCUGUUCGUCUGUUUUUCUUAUUUUAGCCCAUGGCGGUGGUACUUGAUUUGCCAAGCCCUGAAUGAACCAGACAAAUCUCAGUGCUCCUGACAGAGCCUGUCAUUCAGCACUCAGAAAUGUGUCAGUACAGAUGACCCCAUUCUCAGUUGCAGAAACCGAGGCUUGGGAAUGAUAAAUAUCUUACCUAUGUCUCAAAGUUAGCAGCCUCACAGCCCAGUUUCCCAAGACAAUUAGUGGCUGUGUGACGCUUGGGUGGGAAUGAUAAUGGGCUGGAGUGAAUGGGAAAUCAGGCUCUUGAACAAAUCAUUCGUGUUUCCCACCAACUAAUUGGAGACAGGCGUUAAGAGGAAGGAAUUAGUUCCACUCAGCAGUAGUCCGACUGAACUGUGUAUUGCUUCCAACAGAGGUGGGUGUGGGGUGGCAUAAGGAACAUUGUCUGGUGGAGAUCAUUAGAAAAUUGAUCUUGAAGUGGCUGAGAAGGGCCACAUUGAAAAUUAUCUGAUAUAACUUUAUUAAUUCUUAAGACUUCUUCAUGAUUGUUUGGUGAAGCCCAUCAUUGCGAUUCAUGAACCAGCAAACUUGCCAACUGGUCUGUUUCUGUAAUAAGGUGUGUGGUUUCUACACAAGAUUCUUCUCAAGAGAACUGGCAAGCAAAUACAAGUCUUGC